GACGAACGCUGGCGGCGUGCUUAACACAUGCAAGUCGAACGGAAAGGCCCUGCUUUUGUGGGGUGCUCGAGUGGCGAACGGGUGAGUAACACGUGAGUAACCUGCCCUUGACUUUGGGAUAACUUCAGGAAACUGGGGCUAAUACCGGAUAGGAGCUCCUGCUGCAUGGUGGGGGUUGGAAAGUUUCGGCGGUUGGGGAUGGACUCGCGGCUUAUCAGCUUGUUGGUGGGGUAGUGGCUUACCAAGGCUUUGACGGGUAGCCGGCCUGAGAGGGUGACCGGCGACAUUGGGACUGAGAUACGGCCCAGACGGCUACGGGAGGCAGCAGUGGGGAAUAUUGCACAAUGGGCGGGAGCCUGAUGCAGCAACGCCGCGUGCGGGAUGACGGCCUUCGGGUUGUAAACCGCUUUCGCCUGUGACGAAGAGUGAGUGACGGUAAUGGGUAAAGAAGCACCGGCUAACUACGUG
rnacentral:rRNA from 1 species